AGGAGAAACCCCCAACACGGGCGGCAACCUUGAUCCCCUCCUUCCUCCCAGUCCCCACCGCCGCCACGAACUCUGCUCCGACACGAACUCUGCUCAAGCCCGCUCCCAUGGUUCCCGUCAUCGACAUGGCCUCUUUGCCCGUUCCGCAAGCCGAAGGCACCACCUACAGAAAGGACUCGAGUCCCACGAUCGAAAUCCCAGAUCAGACCGGAUCGCGGCGGCCGGCGGCGCCACGAUAGUUCGCCGACCUGCAGUCCUCCUCACGGGACAAGCUGCGUUCGCGGUGCGCACUCGCUGCCCGCCGGCUUCGACGGUGUGGGCCGGGGCGCCGCCCUUCCGCAGAUCCGCAAUCGAGUCAUGCGUCCGGUCUGACGCCUCCCAUCGACGUCCACGGCUCUGUGCUCUUCCAUGUUCUCUCCUAGCGCAGGCUGUGGGGGCGCUACGCCGCUAUCUGCCGGCUCCUCAUACAAGAGCUAUGGACCAACUGAGCCCUGUGGGAAACAAUUGCAUCAACUCAGCGACGUCCAGCGUUUCUCCUCUCUACGUUUCUUUGCACGCCUCAUCUCCAAGCACGAAUUCACGACGUGAUGGUCUGGUCUUGGUACUAUGUUGAUAGCGAGGGUGCAAGGCUCAAGGGAAGCAGCCGGUUCUGUAGUUCUUUGUAUGCUUAUAGUAUCUUGGAUGAGGGUUGAGGAAGCUGCUGAGUUAGCAUGGCGGGCUUUUAUCACGCAAUAUUCCGUGACAGAGCUAGUAGUGGCUGUGUUCCUGGUGGUAUGCAUUCUGUUUCUUAGUUUCUAUCCUGAUAUUUGUUUUGUUCACUCAAUAAGCACGAUACAACUUGCAUGCAGAUUUGUUAAACACCUUGCCAUUUAUAUCUUUCUUUUGAAAUCACAUACAUAACUGUUUAUUUGAGUUACUUAUUGGUGAAGUUGAGAUAUUUUCCCCCCAUCGUGUAAUACACACCCCUAGGUUGGGAAUAGAGAUUACCGUCGAAACGAUGGUGAUAAAUUAACCCACACCAAACGUACAUUGUUGUAGAGUAUAGAAGGUGCUGUAGAGUAUAGACAUGGGUCUAGACAUCUAGACAAACCUACCGAGGAUUUCUAAAACAAUAUAAUUAUAAUGGUACAUGUAAAUUACAUGCGUAGAUUUAUUCUUUUUGUAUACGGCUUUCAUGUUAGUAGAUUUAAAAAAAUAUGGUGUGCUGUAUAAGGAUUAUGGCCAACGCUAUGUUUUCUUCGUGUUCGCCUUUUCUUUUUCCUUCUUAAUUUUUUGAACCUUUUUCAAGUUUGUGAACAAUUUUCAGUUCACAUUUUUUGAAUUUGCUAAAAUGUUGAAUUACCGUAUAUUUUCCAAAUUCGUGAAUAUUUUUUGAAAAUUUUGAACCUUUUCCAAUGGUUGAAUAGUUUUUGAAUAUGUGAGCGAUUUUGGAAUAUGUGAAUAGUUUUUAGAAUCAGUUAACAAUUUUGAAUUGCCGUGAAUAUUUUUUGAAUUCCUUAACAGUUUUUGAAUUCGUGAACAUUUUUGGAAUUCAUACUUGUCUUGAAUAUGAGAACAUUUUUCGAACACAAUAACAUUUUUGGAAUUUGUGAACACUGUUUUAGAAUCCACAGACAUUUUUUGAAUUCGACGCAAACAUUUAACAAUUUUUUGUAUUCAUGUACAUUAUUUGAAUUCAUGAACUUGUUUUGAAUACGUUAACAUUAUUUAAUAUGUGAUCAUUUUAUGAAUACGUUAACAUUUUUGGAAUUCACAAUUUUUUUAAUCCGUGAACUUUCUUUGAAUACGUGAACAUUACUGGAAUUGGCAACAUUUUUUGAAUUCGCAAACAUAAUUUUUGAAUUUGUGAACAUUUAUUUAAUUCACAAACUCUUUUUUUUUCAAAUUUGCCUUAGAUGUUAGUAGAUUCUAAGGAUAUGGUGUGAUGUAUAAAGAAUUAUGAUCAAUGCUAUGUUUAGUUUUUGGGUCAUUAUUAUUUGGAAGCAGGGUAAAAAAAGAAGACUAUCAUUUGGGCUUGAUAGAGUAUGAUUAUAUCCCACUCGGUCGUGUUUGCAUCAAACACGUGUCCCCCUUUGGAGAAGAAUACGCCAACCAUUUUGGUAGCGGGCCUAUAACUCAUCUCGACAAUUCUGUUUAGGCCUCAUUCCGCUAAUACGCUAGGCAUCAUCUCCUUUCCCGUAUUUCUCUUAGUCUCACUCCAAAACACUUCACGAUCCAACAGAGGGAAUGCCAACAUCCAUGGUGGAAUUGUCCCAUUCGGCUGUUCAUGCCACUUGAGAGGAUGAAGGCUCUAGCAACAUCAUGCGAGAGGCAUCGUCACUAGUGAUUUUGCCACCAUCCUGGCCACGACGACAAUGCCGCAGUACAUAUAGUGGAGGGUAGAGUAGGAAAGUGGAGCGACGGCGCCGCAAGAAGAGGUGCAUUGGAACAGGGGGCACUGUAGUCUGUUUCUUCUUCUGGGCGAGUGUCAGGCAAAUAGACAAGACUCCCAACAAAAUGUCGAUAAAGCGUCAGAUUAGACAAUGGAUGAACAUCAAUAGUAGCAGGAGGUGAACAUUGAGCUCCAUUGGAGUCUCAACAUUGCGCUCAUCUUUAAGAGCAACAUGAGUAAGAAGAUCCUAGAUUAUUAUUUUGGACCAAGAAGGGACCUCAAUCCCAAGAAAGUAGCAGAGAGGGUCAAGAUAAGACAUAAGAAACUGCAUAACAUGCCUUCACAAAGGCAAUAUACUCACGGUCUGCUUCAGUGAUGAUCAUGUCAUCAACAUGAAGAAGAGUCCUACCAAGAGCAGGGCAAGCAACGCCGGAUCUUGAGCACUCGCUAAAAACCAGCAACAUCCAUCAGAGGCAAAACGCUCAAACCAGGCACGAGACGCUUGCUUAAAGCUAUAGAGAGAGCGAUGAAGACGACUAAGCAUGUCCUAAGGAGUAGAAUACCCAGGUGGUGGUUUUAUGUAAACCUCCUCACGCAGCUCACUAUUAAGAAAUACAUUCUUAACAUCGAGCCUAUACACGAACCAGUGGCGAACAGAGGCCACAAGCAUACGGUUUUGCAGGAGCAAAAGUCUCAUCGUAAUCAGGACCAUGCUCCUGCUGAAAGCCAUGACCCACAAGACAAGUUUUUCUAAUGCUCAAAAGAACCAUCAGAGUGAGUCCUAACCUUGUAGACCCACCAAGUGAUGGGACGAACACGAGGAGGAACAUAAAUAGUAUCCCACGUGCUGAUGCACUCAAGAGCAGCAAUUUCACUCAAGAGCAGCAAUCUCCUGUGUCAUAACAAGGUGCCAUUUGGUAUGAACAACAUCACAACAAGAAGUCGGCUCAAGAACAACAGCGCCAAUGCUUGGAAGAUCAAUGCGGUCAACAGGACGAAGCGGACGAGGACGGAAGCCAUAAGUAGGCUGAGACGGGGAAGUUGGCACAUCAGUAGAUGCAUCGACAACACGCAGACGACCUAUAUAGAAGUUAGGAAAAAAAUGGAGAAUAAAAGCUGGAAUCAUCGGGGGAUAAACUUAGGUGAUGGAGACAAGGAAGCCACCGGUGAUGAAGGUGUAGAAUCAUGUGAUAAGCGAGGUGAGGAAAUCAUAGGAGAUGAUGACGUUGGUUCUACAAUAAUCAGAGAAGCAUGAGCAGCACGAUGAUUGGAUAAGGGCUCAAUAGGAGUGGUAGUAGUGUCGAAAAAAAUGUGGGAAGAGAUGUACUCCACUUAAAAGGCCAAAGAAGAUGGACACAGGUAGAAGGGAGGAGACUCUACAAAAGUCAUAUCCUAAGAAAUAGGCAUUCGACGACCAACAUGAUCCCAACAACGAUAUCCCUUGUGCUCAUCGUUGUAUCCUAAGAAGACACACUCAACAGACUGAGAAGUCAGUUUGGUGAAUUCACGAGGUGUAAGAAGGACAUAACAAACACAA